UUCCUCCUAGUUUAGGAGGUAAGGCCUGCUCACUGAGAAUUUAAAGAGCCGCAGUAUCCUAACUGUGCUAAGGUAGCAUAAUCAUUAGUCUUUUAAUUGGGGACUGGUAUGAAUGGCUAAACGAGAGAUUGACUUUUUUUGUUAUUAAAAUCGAAUUUAAUUUUUUAGUGAAAAAGCUAAAAUUUUUCAGAAAGACGAGAAGACCCUAUAGAGUUUUAUAUCAAAAAAAAUUUUUUCUUAAUAGAUUUAAAAAGAGUAAAUUUUUUUAGAUAUUUUGUUGGGGCGACAUUAAGAUAUAAGAAACUCUUUAUUUUUUUAAUUUUAAUUAAAAGAAAGUUUGAUCCUUUAAAAAAGACCAAAAGAAAAAAUUACCUUAGGGAUAACAGCGUAAUCUUUUUUGAGAGUUCUAAUCGACAAAAAGGUUUGCGACCUCGAUGUUGGACUAAAAUUUAGGCAGGGUGCAGCAGUUCUGCUUUAAGGUCUGUUCGACCUAUAAUAUUUUACAUGAUCUGAGUUCAGACCGGCGUAAG
rnacentral:rRNA from 1 species